rnacentral:misc_RNA from 1 species
AGAUCUAAUUGCCCUAACUCUCCCUUACAUCACUUAACUCUGGUAACUAGGUGAAAGGAAUGGGUUAAUUUUGGAUAGCUCUUUAAUAGUUUGUUCCAUAACUAUGGCAUGGCACUGUGUCAGGCCAUCAAAAGCCUCCUUUCCAUUUGGGGUUUCUAAUUUCUGAAAUCUUUAAAGAAAUAAGAGGUUUUUGCUUCAAUUAGUGAAAGGAAGCUAGCAAUUUUGGGCAUUUUUUUAGUGCUGUUAUUAGUUCAUCACAGAAUGAGCUAAGUCAUUAAUUUUCUUGAGUUUAGAAAUUUUAUUAGGGGCCAAAUUUCCUUGACAAUUGUGUUGUGACGUACACAAACAUUUGUGAAAAAUCCAUUUGUUUGCUAACACAAACUGAGCUAAAAUGAAAUGCAUAUUUGAGAAGUCUGCCUGUUGCUGCUUAUUAAAAGCAUUGAGUGAACUUGAAGAGGUUUAAUGUUUGUUAGGCUAUUUGGGAUAUCUUAUAUGUUGGUUUCAUAGUGGAAUAUUGAGUGCACAGCAAGUUAAAUUAAUCAUGACCCAUCAAGUGUGAGCCUAGUUGUGAAACAAAAAUUACUGGAAAAGGUAAGAAAAUAAAUGCUAGGGAAUAUUUGGGUUUAGAGCUGCUAGAGGGCAUGGGAAAGGUAUUUGAACUUACUUUGGUGGAUUUUUGAAUUGCAGGGCUCAUUUAUUGUUGUACUGGACUUUUAGAGGAUGGGUCAGUGUUAGUGACUUAGAACAUUGGUAAACAAGGGCUGCACAAAUUUGUAGUGUUCAAAAAGAACGAAUAAGAAGAGUGCAUCAAGAGCUUAAAGAAGAGAAGAAAGCUGGAGAAGAAAUAAAUCCACAUAUUCAUUCAUUUAAUAAGCAAAUGCUCAAAAUUCUUUUAAUUGACAGAAAAUGAAAUAUGAAAGUCAUACAAACUCUUGAGGUUCAUUAGCCACAAUUUAAAUUAAUCAGGACAUGUUAAGUGUGUGCUUGUGGAGGUCAGUUGGGAAACAAAAGUUACUAGAAAAGGUAAAGGGAAAUAAAUGCUAGUGAAUAGUAGGGUUUAGAGCUGCUGGAAGGUAUAGGAAAGCUAUGUGAUUAAGCAUGAAACACUCUAGUUAGGGGCAGAUUUGGUAAUGGUUCCAGCGAUAAGUAACUGGGUAAAGUUACUUUUGGAGAAUUUUGACUUGCAGGGCUCGUGUUGUGAUACUGGAUUUUGGAGGAAGGGUUAGUCAUUUAGAACAUAGGUGAACAAGGCUGUGCUGCACAAAUUUGGAGUUCUCAAAAAGCGCAAGAAUGAGAAGAUUGUACCAAGAGCAUAAAUAAGUGCACACCAAGAGCAUAAAGAAAAGCAAGCAGCUGGAGAAGAAAUAAAUCUACAUACACAUUUAUUUAAUUAGGAAAAUGCUCAAAAUUCUUCUAGUUGACAGACAAUGAAACAAGAAAGUCAUGCAAUUGGUUGAGGUUCUUAUUUUGCUAGGCCCUCAAUUAUGGGUUAGGAAGUAGACAAGAUAGACUUGUUUUUGGUUUAGAUGAUACCUAGUGCUUAGACAUGAAGUUGUAUUAAAUCUACUAGGCUCCAAAUGUUAUACAAGUAGCCCAAAGGUAUAUCCUAUUCAAGUACAAUCACAAAUUGCAAAUGCACCGAAACAAAAAUGGCACAAGAGCUUACUAAUACCUUAAACAACUAGCAUAGGCACUUGUUAAGAAGCUCCUUGCUUAUUGAUGUAGAGUUUGUAGACUUAAUUGCUGGUUUUUAAAGGGAGCAUUAUUUCCUGUUCAUGGAUGCUGCAUCAUUUUAGGCCUCUCAGUUAUAUGGUCAUGAUGUUUAUGAUAUAA